GAUGAACGCUAGCGGCAGGCUUAACACAUGCAAGUCGAGGGGUAUAGUUCUUCGGAAUUAGAGACCGGCGCACGGGUGCGUAACGCGUAUGCAAUCUACCUUUCACAGAGGGAUAGCCCCAGAGAAAUUUGGAUUAAUACCUCAUAGUAUAGCAGUUUCGCAUGAAACCACUAUUAAAGUCACAACGGUGAAAGAUGAGCAUGCGUCCCAUUAGCUAGUUGGUAAGGUAACGGCUUACCAAGGCAACGAUGGGUAGGGGUCCUGAGAGGGAGAUCCCCCACACUGGUACUGAGACACGGACCAGACUCCUACGGGAGGCAGCAGUGAGGAAUAUUGGACAAUGGGCGCAAGCCUGAUCCAGCCAUGCCGCGUGCAGGAUGACGGUCCUAUGGAUUGUAAACUGCUUUUAUACAGGAAGAAACACUACUUCGUGAAGUAGCUUGACGGUACUGUAAGAAUAAGGAUCGGCUAAACUCCGUGCC
rnacentral:rRNA from 1 species